AUUGAACGCUGGCGGCAGGCCUAACACAUGCAAGUCGAGCGAGCGGCGGACGGGUGAGUAAUGUCUGGGAACCUGCCUGAUGUAGGGUGAUAACUACUGGAAACGGUAGCUAAUACCGCAUACCAUCAGAUGUGCCCAGAUGGGAUUAGCUAGUAGGUGGGGUAACGGCUCACCUAGGCGACGAUCCCUACCUGGUCUGAGAGGAUGACAAGCCACACUGGAACGGAGACGCGGUCAAGACACCGACGGGUGGCAACAGUGGGGAAUAUUGCACAAUGGGCGCAAGCCUGAAGCAGCCAUGCCGCGUGUGUAAAUAAGGCCUUCGGGUUGUAAAGCACUUGCAGCGGGGAGGCGUUAACCGCAGAAGAAGCACCGGCGAACUCCGUGCCAGCCGCCGCGGUAAUAA
rnacentral:rRNA from 1 species